UCACAUUAAAUCCACUUUAUGAAAUCCAAUUAACCAGACAUUAUGUUGAAUUAAUUAUAAUAACCUCAAUUAACGCAAUUAAUGACAAUUAGAAAAAGUUUACUUAAUUAAUUAAAAAACGUGAAUUGAAAUCAAGAGAGGAAAUAGGGUUUUCAGAGUGACCUUUGAAGUUCUGAAGAGCUUUUCCCCUUUUUCUUCGACGUGAACGGCGGAGGGUUCGUCUUCUCCAACCAAAUCCUCUCAGUCCAUCACCGCAUGACAAUCAUACGCCUUCGCUCCCGCAAGUAAACGAGGACAAACACAAAUCCUCGCGUAUCAGCUUUGCAUCUCAUCUCUAACCUAACAACUACGCUAAUUGCACGAAUCGGAGAAGAGGUUGGGGACCUUUCGACCGGAGAGCCUCACGGUGCACCUUCGAUUGCGACGAGAACGAAUAGAGAACCAGGGAUCCUUCAGGUUAUUUUGAUUCAAGUGAGCAUGGAGCAUUCAUUUUGAUAUCAAACCUCGAGCAUAAACACGAAUUGGAUUGUGUACGAGCGACUGUCGAACACAUAGAGGUUCUCUGCGCUUUCUUUUGGAACAUGAUCAGUACGCAUAAAGUAAGUAGCCUUUAGGGCAUUUAUGCUUAGACUGAGCUUUGUGGCAGACUUAACGUUGCUUCAGACCCAUUGAACUUGAAUUGAACCCAAACUGCUUAAAGGAUCUCUGAAUAUAACUCAGUGGGGAUGAUGGUGAUGGUAGCUAUAACUUAGUUUACACUCCUCUUUUAGUUUGCUAUUUGAAUAUGAAUGUGGACAUGGUAUGACUGGAACUGUUAGUUUGUUAAAUGGUGCAACAGGCUGUUGGUAAAUUUGUGGUUUGAAAUGUGUUAGUUAGGAACUGUUUUUGUGUUGCAUGAUUGUUAGAAAUCUUUUAUUGAAUUUUCCAAUGGAUGGAUGUGUGUUUAUUCCUUGUACAGGUCUAGGAUGUGGAGAAGUUUUAUGGUAUGAACAUGGGUUAACCUCCUUGCUGCUGCUCAGGCGGAAGCAGCUCGUUCUGGUUUAGAUGCGAAUUGUUUGGCUAUGCUGCAAGUUUGGUAAAUUGAAAUAUGACUGCAAGCAGGUUGACAAUUGUGUGAGUAAUGCAAGGCUUUCCUUUGAUGUGGAAGAAAGUGUGAGCUGUAUGUUAAUUCCACUGGUUUUACGCUUUGGUUCAGAUGCUUGGAGUUCGGGCAGAGAAACAAGUCCAUAGUCAAACUAGGAUGUAGUUUUUUUUUGUGUAAAAUCUUUUUGGUGAUGUAAUAUGAAAGUUUUUUGUAAUGGUUUAUGACUUGUGCUCAUUUGACUCAUACAGUAGAAUAGGACUUUUUGGAUAUGAUUGAAAGUGUAAUGUGAAAGAACUUUGUAAAAGGGCAUUGAAUGGUAUAUUCUUUUUGUAUGAUUUUUCUGUAUUGGGUA